CACCAUAUACAUCGCGGUACAUGAAACUGGAGUAGUUUCACCGCGUUAUCGUUAUGUCAUUGUUGUUAUUAUUAACGCAUUGUACUAUAAAGGCCGACGAACGGAGGCGAGGCAAGGGUUGGAUGGUCAAUAAACGUUGCCGCCCACGAGGUAGAAGCUCUAGCAGCAGGUGAGAACUGAUUGGAAAAAAGACCUACUCAUCGUGGUUUUCUGUAUACGUAUGCGUACACGUGGCUGGAUAUACAGCGAAGCUUCGAGCACUCGCUGAAACAAGCACGACAAGACACAAAGAGUGAUAAAUACAUUGGAUGCCUGUGUGUACAGUGACGCUGGUCCUGCGAAAAGAUGCACAAAUUCAUAAGAUUGAAGUUAAUACGUAACGUUAGACCAACGGAUAAUCGCAACAAACAUCAUUAUUUUGCAACUAGAGAAUAAUUUGGAAGGAGUUGAGUUUGCAAAAUAUUAGUGUUACGAUUUAUUGAAUAUCAGACGAUUCUAGAUAGUUGCAAAAUGCCUAGUUUUUACAGAAAACUAUGUAUCGUUAUAAUUUAUAGACUCCGAACUUAGUACGAAUUUCGGUUGGGUACGAGCUUGAUUUCACUAGUUGACAAGAAUAUAAGAUAAUUAAACUAUUACCAAUGUACAAUAUUUGUCCUGAAUGAUCACAUACCGUGAUUAGACGUCCGUCAUGUAAUUUUUGUUUAUAUAUAUCUUUGCCGUUAAUUUCUGCGCGCGCGUCAACCUCAAUCCCCACCCCUUGAGUAAAUGUUCCCGGGGGUUCCCAGAGCGGAUAUUUGCCAGUUUGCUACCCUGCAGUAUCCACGGUCAACUUUCAAACGGUUUUCUGAGUGGUGCCUCGCGGUGUACGGCGAUGGGCUGCGGGUUCAGUCGCCGCGUGGUACCAAACAGUAGCGGCGACCCGGGUGCAGGAGGCGAGAUCGGCGGCUCCUUCGUCGGCGACGAAGUAGCGACGGCAGGGGCAAAUGCAGCGAAUGCGGUCAUAGGGGGGGCGACGAAAGAUUCGCCCCUGAGUUUCGUAGUGCCGAUCCGGGAUACAGAAGGGUCAAAAGAGGGCAGUAUAAUACGCCGGCAUCCGCCGGUGCGGCUGCGACGCCUCGAGGAAGAGCAGCAGCUCCACCGUCCGAAGCUGACCCUCGGAGCCCUGGAACGCCGGCAGGCCGAGGCCGAGGAAAGGCGUCGAAAGAUAUUGGACUCCAGGGUCCAGUCUGCGCAGCACUUUCAGCGCAAGGUGCUGCAAGGAACGGGGACAGUUACGGCGUCUACGUCUCCGUCUGAUGACUUGGAUCGGGACCGGGAUCGGGACCA
rnacentral:misc_RNA from 1 species